GGAGAAAAACGAGCGCACCUCUUCAACAGGCGUACCCCAGUCACCCCACAUAGUCUCUCGGGGACUUGGCUUCGGACCAGCGGCUAGUUUUGUCCUAAACUACACUCUGGCUCCUGGGGCAGGCAGGCGAGAAAACUACUUCCGAGGCUACCAGCUGUUCCACAAGGGCAGCUGGAAAAUGCACAGUCCUAAGGUGUUGAGAGUCUUUAAUAUUUUACCUGGCAGGUAAAACCAAGGGUCAGACUGAAUUGUUCAGUUGGCUGUUUUAAGGAAUAUUGAUGGCAUCGAAAAAUACACAGCCCACCUCCAGUCCGUAGGCUAGACCAUCACAUACAUGAGUUCCUCGAAUACUUUUGGGAAACCCUACUUGCCCAGUCUCUGAAUGCGAUGGAUGUGGUGAGCGUGCUGCACAGGGGAUUUUGUGAUCUCUGGAAUACAAGACUCUUGGAGACUGACGAUUUUCGCUGGCUGGAGAGGUGUCUGGAGCUGCAGGCGGCCAGCAAGCCACCAAACCAGCUGGUUUUUUUCACGGCUGGGAAGGGCCCAUGCUAAAACUUAUUGCACCACCUGCAGGUAGCGUGGGCGGACAUGGGCCUUAAAGGGUCCCUCAACUUCACCGACCUGAGGACGGCUGUGUUUGCGCAUUAGCAAUAUAACAACAAUAACAACCUGCCUGCCGAGCAGCGGACGAUGGUGGCCACCUUGAUGUGCAACAACACGGCCACAGCUGACUGCUUCUAAGCCCUCAGCCUGAACGUGGCCCAGUCAAAGAGGAUGAGGGAGCAUUUCCGCCAGGCCCUCACCCACACCGUGCCAUCACCAGAGUCACCAGAAGCCUCCUCCUCCUCCACCACCAGGAAGAGGUCCUGCAAGCCUGAGUACUCCUCCAGUUCUGAGGACGAAACCCCUGUCCCCUACCAGGAGUCAGGGACCUCGGGACUGGAGGAGCAGAGGGAGUUCAUGCAAGGCUGCAAAAUACACCAGAGAAGGCCCUCAGGACGAGCCAGUACGGCAGGCUGAUGUUGGCGCUGGCUCAACCCCAAGGGCAGCGUAUCGCGUGGCACAACAGACUUGCAGCCCCCCCCCCACCCACACACACACACACGCACGUAAAUAGUUGUUUUAUUGUGUUUUUAUAGAUUGGUUAAGAUUCAUUUUGUAUUAUUAGAUGUUCUAUUUUAGUAAAUGUUAAGAUUAAUUUUCUUUUAGUGUGUUUUCAAAUGUUGUUCAAUAUUGGUAUGUGUUUAAUACAAGUUCCUUUUUUACUUAAAAUGACACAACUAUAAUACUGAGCACGCUUAGCCUAAACAUGAAGCUAUGAACACCAAAUUGGUCAGGUAUUCUUAACACAGGCUCACCUUUGACUUUGAAAAGGUUCAAAGUAUCUCGCUUUAUUAAAUUACAUAGAUAUCCAGUGCAAUACUUAACCCUUGUGUGGUCCUUCGGGUCCCAGUGACCCGAAGGACCACACAAGGA